CAUGACCCCUACUUUUCUUUGGAUAUUUUUACAGUAUAAAUGUUAUUCUACAAGAAAAUAGUUAAACAUUUCCUGUAGCAGCUUAGGACAGUACAGUUUGUGAGUUAACAGAUCAGGGUGAGCCUCAGUGUUUCCUGGUGUACUGUACUCAUCCGCCAACUUAGGACAGCUGUUUAGUGAUCGCAGAGGUGCAACACCCGUUUCAGAGCCAUUUACAUCAUUUAGUGAGGAUUCCUGUGUCUGACAGUACUGAACCUGAGGAAUUUCACACAUUUUUGAGCAGAGACCAGGUGUGCAGUAUCAACACCUUUUUAGUUACAUUUUGACAUGAAUUGUUGGAGAGAACUUGAAUACCAUGGCCAUGAGAUAUGACUUUAGCUAUAGAAUGCAAAAAUAUGCAG
rnacentral:lncRNA from 1 species